CCUACGGGAGGCAGCAGUGGGGAAUCUUGCACAAUGGGGGAAACCCUGAUGCAGCGACGCCGCGUGAGUGAAGUAGUAUUUCGGUAUGUAAAGCUCUGUCAGCAGGGAAGAAAAUGAGGGUAACUAACUAAGAAGCCCCGGCUAACUACUUACCAGCAGCCGCGGGAAUACGUAGGGGGCAAGCGUUAUCCGGUUUUACUGGGGGUAAAGGGAGCGGAGACGGUAAGGCAAGUCAGAAGUGAAAGCCCAAGGCUCAACCAUGGGACUGCUUUUGAAACUGGCAAACUAGAGUACGGGAGAGGUGAGAGGAAUUCCAAGUGUAGCGGUGAAAUGCGUAGAUAUUAGGAGGAACACCAGUGGCGAAGGCGGCUCACUGGACUGUAACUGACGUUGAGGCUCGAAAGCGUGGGGAGCAAACAGGAUUAGAUACCCCUGUAGUC
rnacentral:rRNA from 1 species